rnacentral:lncRNA from 1 species
UGGUGGCAAGGUUCCUCUCCAGGAGAGGCUGGGGACGUAGUCUGACCCACUUUUCUGCCGCAGAAGAGGGAGCCCUGGUGCCCCGACCCCAAACCCGGUGUCGUUGGCCUGCCUUGAGGAGAGGGGUGCGGGCGCUGGGGCGGGCAGGGUGCCGGGCGGCCUGGAGCUGGGCUGGCUGCGGCCUGGCCUGGGGCAGCCUCACCCGUGCAGGCAGCAGGGCCAGGGCUGGCGCUGGCCGGGCUGGAGGAGCUCCCAGGUGCCAACAUGGUUGGUAAACGCAGCUGAACUUCUGCAGGGACGCUGUGGUGCAGGGCAGCCUGCCGCGGACACUGCCCACCUCGUCCUCGAGGCUGCAGCUCCUCUCCCUCAGCUGCUGCUGGAUGGGGCCCUGUGCCUUCUCUCGUGCUUUUCUGCGCUUCUGCAGGAAGGCUGUGUGCCGUCCGUCGGGCCAAGCAUCAGAACCCACUGCUGGGAGACCCCCCCUCCACCAGCACGUCAGCUGCUGAGAGCGAUACCGUGCAUUAUCGACGUGCUUCUGAAUUCCGACUUGCCUCUCCUAAUGCAACGUACCUGCAGCCUUGUUCGGAGCAGAUGCAAUUGGGCAGCAGUGCCGUGCUCCUGCUCGCAGCAGAACUGCAGCUUCGCUCCAUGCAGAGGCCGCUGGACUUCUGCCACCAGGCAGACUUCUGAUAGCAAUCCUUCUGGCAGGGCCUCGCGGGGCUGCGGCUCAAGAGCCAUCUGCAUUUGCUAA